GGGGGCGGUUUUCGAGAGACGCGGGACGGCUGCCCCCGUCGGCGCGCUCGAUCGCUCCUCCGCCGGUCCGGCUUCUCCUUCGUGCGGAGGCCUUUGGCGACAAAGGCGAAAGCCGGCCUCAAUGUCCGAGAGUCGCGCGGGGAUAGAUUACCCGAGAGGUGGAAAACAACCCUGGCUCCGGAGGCGGUGAAAAAUGACAGGCGGACCGCGUCCGGGA
rnacentral:ncRNA from 1 species